UCGGGAGCUUAUAUUGUCCUGCCUUUUAUAAGUCAAUAAUUUGUCUCGCCAUUUACAAUAGUUUGUUAGUGGCACUGUUAACAUCAGAUUAGGACUCCAAACCCAAAUAGAACAGAUUUACCAUCAGGUUCCAGUAAUAGGAACCAUCACUUCCAGGGACCACUGAAGGGUACAGACAAGGAAGGACCAUGAAUUUGGAACUGGAAGGUACUCCAGAGGCCUCUGAGUACAACUCUUUUGUAUUGUAGAUUUGAAAACUGAAAGUCAGGAUCAUGAACUGAAUUGCAUGGAAGUCGGAGGGAGUUCCUGGUCUCCUGACAACAUACCCCUGCACCACAAUGACUAGGAAGAUAGUGAUUCUGAAUACUGCUCCUAGGAC
rnacentral:lncRNA from 1 species